ACCUGUGGAUAUAUUAGCCUGAAGAUACCUAAUCUCCUCUGAUCUUGGAGGUUAAGCAGGUUCAGGUUAGUACUUGCAUGAGAGAAGACCUCACAAUACCGGAUGAUGUAGGCC
rnacentral:rRNA from 1 species